UGGGCAUGUGUUACAGUAGACUCUGUUAGGG
rnacentral:piRNA from 1 species